rnacentral:rRNA from 1 species
UGGGGGAUAUUGCACAAUGGGCGAAAGUCUGAUGCAGCGACGCCGCGUGGGGGAUGAAGGCUUUCGGGUUGUAAACCUCUUUCGCUAUCGAACAAGGCCCGCUUAGGGUGGGUUGAGGGUAGGUGGAGAAGAAGCGCCGGCUAACUACGUGCCAGCAGCCGCGGUAAUACGUAGGGCGCGAGCGUUGUCCGGAAUUAUUGGGCGUAAAGGGCUUGUAGGCGGCUUGUUGCGCCUGCUGUGAAAACGCGGGGCUUAACUUCGCGCGUGCAGUGGGUACGGGCAGGCUUGAGUGUGGUAGGGGUGACUGGAAUUCCAGGUGUAGCGGUGGAAUGCGCAGAUAUCUGGAGGAACACCGAUGGCGAAGGCAGGUCACUGGGCCAUUACUGACGCUGAGGAGCGAAAGCAUGGGUAGCGAACAGG